rnacentral:lncRNA from 12 species
CGUGGGAGCAGCCCCACUGGUUUCAAGCCCAUCUCCUGGCGUCUCUCAACAUCAGCCUCAGGAGGUGAAGGUGUCCGUUUGACCCCUUUACCCAGCACUGAUGGCAGCUCUGGGGCACGGGGGUGCUCACAGGGCCCAGGAGACUACUCCUCUGCCUGGGUGCCCAGACCCUUACUGAACACGUACACAUCUUCACACCCUUCCCCCAGGGGUCUACACAGUCCCUGGAGUGAGGAAGCACAGAUGAUCCUGAGUGUGGGGAGGCCUCCUUCCUGCCGGGGCCACAACACUUCUCCUAUGUCACAAAAUGCCUGCUACCUCCCCCUCCUCCCGCCUUGCCAACGCUCACAAACCUGUGUUAGCCUUAAAGGCCAGCUCCAGAGGGGCUGAGAUGCAACUCCUCCACCCAAACAUCCCCACCAACCUGCUGGCCCAUUCCUCCACCCAGGUGAGCCGCAGGGAUGCCAAGCAGCCGACUCCCAGCCCCGGAGACGCUCUCCCUACAGGCAGGGAACCAGGCAUGAGACAUUUUGGAAUCACAGGAACUAAGGAACCAUCGACAACCCAGGCAAGCCAAAGUGUCCGCUCCACUCCUGAGAGAGACAGACAGGAACAUGAACGGCUAGAAGGAGCAAAGCUGACAGGAAGUGAGAUAAAAAGGUCAGUGCCAGCCCAGUGAUAAAAAGGCCAUUCACGCAUCCUCUGGGGACUAUGGUGCACAUGUAAGCCCCAGGGACCCCUUCAGAAGGCCACAGUUGUUACUGAGCUCCAAGCAGUUAUUGUCAUGCUGCCGUGUGAGCUUAGAGUUGUCAGAUAUUUUCAAGAAAAAUUAGAAAUGUCGAUUUUUAUGGAUUGCCCCUGGGUUUUUAGAUGUUGGUAACUAUUUUUUAAAUUUUAAAACCGUGUGUGUGUGUGUGUGUGUGUGUGUCCAAUACGCACAUAAACACGAAUGUGCAACUGCUGCAGAGUUGCAGGAAAGCCACUGGAAGUUUCGUCAAGAGGGAGGUGCUCUGAAUAGCAGGCUUGGGUGUUCGGAUGCCCACUCGGGGGCAGUAUGGAGGAAUGGCCUGGUAAGUGGGACAGUUGCAAGUGUCUGGACCAAAGGGGCCGAGGCCUGAACAAAGGCGGCUGACCUGGAGAGGAGGGAAGGCUCCCAGACACAGUGUAGGGGUCUUCGGGGAUUAGCCCUUCCUGGGGGGGUUAAGGGUUUAAGUCUCCUAUCCCUUUGUCCCCCUUAAGAGAUUGCAAAAACAUCAUCUAGUGGGUGGGGAGGCCUAUUUGGAGUGGGAUGCUCCUGAAAAUCCCCAAGGUUGCGCUGUGGCAGGCCACCCCGAAGGACUGGGUAAGACAUUCCAAACAGCCUGAAGAGGGAGGGGCCGUGCUGGGGGAGGGGCUCAGGAAUCCGCCUGGCCUUCAGGAAGACCCCAGCCAGCCCUAAUGGGAACCACACGUGGGGUGAGCUGGAAUCCCGGAUUGCCUGUGACGUUUGGCUUUGGAAUUGGACACUUGGCUCAGGUCACUCCUGACCCGCUGAAGUCUGAGGCCUCCCAGCUCAGCUCCCCUCCUAAUUGCUGCCAGACACAUUCUGCCCUGUACCCGGCUCCGGGGGCCGGCCUGGGUCCCCCAUCUCUUGCUAGGAGAACACCUAUGCUCUGAGGGAGUGUGUGUGUGUGUGUGUG